rnacentral:miRNA from 1 species
AGGACACAGAAGGUGGAACGGAGGC